CGGGGCGUAGCGCAGGGGCUAGCGCGCCUGCUUCGGGAGCAGGAAGUCGGAGGUUCAAUUCCUCUCGCCCCGACCA
rnacentral:tRNA from 1 species